rnacentral:misc_RNA from 1 species
GCCCAAUCAAUUCUUCUAAGCAUAAGUUUCCCAUAUCGCUUGAUUGAUUUUUUCCCACCUUCAACAACAACAACACUAAUACCUCCUGAGAUCACUGCACACCCAGUCAAACGAUUCUCCUGAGCGUUAACAUCCACCUUGAAGCGCGUUUGUGGGUGGGAGAGGUCAUUAAUUUUGUAUACUGAAACAAUAGUCUCCGGUGCGAUAUUUGAGUCAUCAAAAAGUUUCCUCUCUUUCUUCUCUCGACGCUCAUCAGGGGUAAGCUUACGAGCAAUAUUCCUGUCUACAUGAGCCUGCUCACGCUCAGCAGCCGCACUUCUGAUCUCCAUUUCAAGCUUUGUAGGAUCCUGUGUGGCUUCUGAGCCAAGAACUUUCAUUAGAUUGCUCAUUUUAACUUUCGGCUUUGGUGGUUCCACCAGGCCUUGUCGUAUCAUUUCUUGUCUUUCUUUCUCUCUGGCCAAUCUUCGCUGAGUUCGAAGUUUCUUUUGCUCCUUUUUGGUUAGUUUCAAUGGUUGGGGAGGAGGUGGAGCUGGUUCAGCAGGUGGCUCAAUAGGGCGAGGAUGUUCAACAUAUAUGGUGAUCUUUUCAAUCUUCAACUGUUCGUUCAUUACAUUACCAUCAACAACAUCACCAUAAGUACCAGAUCGUAACAGAGGAGCAUCCCACCACUCAACGUCAGGAAUAGGUUCCUUCUGUUUUUCCUUGGCGAUAACCCUUGCAGAUACCUCAAUGAGAUUCGGAUUUAUGUCAGGCUCUGCUUUAGCCUUGGUCAACUGUGCUUGCUUUGCCUUUAGCUCUUUAGCUCGUGCUUCACCAAAUUGGCUCUUUAACUUGAUUAUCUCUGCAUCUCUUGACCAUUUGCCUUCCUCCACAAACUGAAAAGUCAUUUUCUUGGGCCUCAAAAUUUUGUUCUUGUCAAUUCCCAUGCCUGGAUCAUAAUACGGAUUUUUCUCAGGAUCAACCUCAAGUUCAGGUUUGAGAAUUUGAAAUGCUUCUUGUUU